UUCUUCCGGUGAGAUAAUAGGAUGUUUUACUAUCGCUUCAGUUUCUUCCGAUGAGAUUCUGCAGCCAGAAUUUUUUUUAGGAUCUGAAUAUAUACCCCCUACAAACCUGUCUUUGUUGAGCACCGCUCCUACUUUCCUAAAGAGUGAAGGCCUCCCUGAAUCCGUGCUACAAACCUGUCUUUGUUGAGCAGCACCACUCCGACUUUCCUACUGAAAAGCGAAGGCCAACCUGAAUUCCCGCUACCAACCUGUCUUUGUUGAGCAGCACCUUGAACUCCCACUACAAACGGUGUUUGUAACUCUAAGUCACCGGGAGUCAUAUUGCCCCUCUUUCCACCUAUUCACCUCUGUGUCCCUUCUCUCCCAGGUCACUCCAGCUAGUGUCCUCCUGGUCAUACUCUCUCAUUGAACAGAUGGCUGACCAUUCCAAGGCCGAGCUAAUUUCGCUACGGCCACGUGGUCGUCAAGGACACCAACGACAUGGGCAACAUCAUUUUCAUUGGCAAGGGCCAAUGUGACGUGUUGAGAGUGGUGGAUCUUACCUCCUGCAGUGCCUACCAACGCCUCCUAAAACAGUAUGCAGACUCAGUAAGCAGAGGUACAUGUUUGCCAACACAUGGAUUCAAAGGCGAGCUGACAAACCAACCAGGAAGUGUCAUAAAACACAAAGUCCUCCUCAAUAAUCCUCCACGUCCUCCCAGAGGACUUCCUGCAGACCUGCCCACUAGUGCCUGUUUCCUGAUCGACACCCUUCAUCAGAGCAGCACAUUUGGUCUGAACCAGUACCUGAUGCCGUCGAAGCAGAGAGACUGUCACAGGUUCACUCUGGUCAGCCAGAGCGUGGAGAUCCUGCGGGUGGAGAAGACUCGCUUUGACAAGCUGGUGGACAACACCACCAUGAAGAAGCUGGAGGCCCUGCAGAAAACCUACCCUAGCGACAAUGAGCUGUGCACUGUGUUCCUGGAACACAGCCGCUGGAAGGACUACAAACACAGCGUGGUACAGGACCUGUUCCCCCACCGGGUUGCCCCAAUCAGAAGCCCCAAAACCCAGAAGCAGCAGGGCCACUGUGGCCCCAGCCAGGCCCUCCAGCAGACCAGAUACGUGGUCAACAGGCUGAAACAGACAAAGCAGAGGAGCUCUGACGUCUCAGAAUGCACUUUCACCUGGGGUGGUGCAGGCAGCGAUGACAUCACAGCGCUCUCUGCUAACUCCGCCCACUACCAGCUGCUGUCAGAGCUGGGGAAAGGCUUCAACAACCUGAGCCAGGUGCGCAUGGCGCGCCACACCCCCCUCCCGCCAGCUGGUGGCAGUCAAGAACACC
rnacentral:lncRNA from 1 species